rnacentral:rRNA from 1 species
AUACGUAGGUGGCAAGCGUUGUCCGGAUUUAUUGGGCGUAAAGCGAGCGCAGGCGGUUCUUUAAGUCUGAUGUGAAAGCCCACGGCUCAACCGUGGAAGGUCAUUGGAAACUGGGGAACUUGAAUGCAGAAGAGGAGAGUGGAAUUCCAUGUGUAGCGGUGAAAUGCGUAGAUAUAUGGAGGAACACCAGUGGCGAAGGCGACUCUCUGGACUGUAACUGACACUGAGGCACG